CUUGUAUGUCCUGGAGAACUUUGACAUGGUUCUUCAAUAUGAUGGUCUUCCCAAGUCUUACCUAUAGAAGUAAGGUUCCAGUAGGUCUCCAACAUCACAUCUUUGUAGAGAUUCAUCUGAGAAGGACCCAGCAAAUUCCACUCUUCUUUAGUGAAGUUCACAUGCACAUCAUCAAAAGUCACUGCAUCCUAAAAUAUCCCAGAAAUGUGUACAAUACAAAGCAU
rnacentral:lncRNA from 1 species